rnacentral:rRNA from 1 species
UACGAAGGGGGCUAGCGUUGCUCGGAAUUACUGGGCGUAAAGCGUACGUAGGCGGCUUUGUAAGUUAGAGGUGAAAGCCUGGAGCUCAACUCCAGAACUGCCUUUUAAGACUGCAUCGCUUGAAUCCAGGAGAGGUGAGUGGAAUUCCGAGUGUAGAGGUGAAAUUCGUAGAUAUUCGGAAGAACACCAGUGGCGAAGGCGGCUCACUGGACUGGUAUUGACGCUGAGGUACGAAAGCGUGGGGAGCAAACAGGG